CAAAUCUUGCAAAGCCAAACCUCUCUCUCCCUCACUUACAAUUUUCGGCCAACUCACCUCUCUCCCUCACACACACUUUCUCCCAACACACACUCAUCUUCUCCAUUUAUCAAUUCCACCAUUUUCCUCCAUUGAUGGAAACCUUCGAAGCUUCCUAAAAUAUUACCAAACACUUCAAAUCACUCUAAUAUCCUCCAUAAACCUAUUCUAUCCACUUAUAAUCAAGAAAAUCCUUGAAGAAGAAGCUCCAAAGUAGAGUGAGAAAGUGAGAAUUUUGGUGAGAACUUGGACACGAGCAGAGCAGGGAAGUAAGUAACUCCGCUUUGACGGGAGUUUUUGAGUAAGGUCUUCAGACUAAGCGAGGAGCGAGAUUGGUCUGGUGCUGGCGGGGAAAUGUUGGAGGAUGUAU